GACGAACGCUGGCGGCGUGCUUAACACAUGCAAGUCGAACGGAAAGGCCCUGCUUUUGUGGGGUGCUCGAGUGGCGAACGGGUGAGUAACACGUGAGUAACCUGCCCUUGACUUUGGGAUAACUUCAGGAAACUGGGGCUAAUACCGGAUAGGAGCUCCUGCUGCAUGGUGGGGGUUGGAAAGUUUCGGCGGUUAGGGAUGGACUCGCGGCUUAUCAGCUUGUUGGUGGGGUAGUGGCUUACCAAGGCUUUGACGGGUAGCCGGCCUGAGAGGGUGACCGGCCACAUGGGGACUGAGAUACGGCCCAGACUCCUACGGGAGGCAGCAGUGAGGAAUAUUGCACAAUGGGCGGAAGCCUGAUGCAGCAACGCCGCGUGCGGGAUGACGGCCUUCGGGUUGUAAACCGCUUUCGCCUGUGACGAAGCGUGAGUGACGGUAAUGGGUAAAGAAGCACCGGCUAACUACG
rnacentral:rRNA from 1 species